rnacentral:rRNA from 1 species
GACGAACGCUGGCGGCGUGCUUAACACAUGCAAGUCGAACGGAAAGGCCCUGCUUUUGUUGGGUGCUCGAGUGGCGAACGGGUGAGUAACACGUGAGUAACCUGCCCUUGACUUUGUGAUAACUUCAGGAAACUGGGGCUAAUACCGGAUAGGAGCUCCUGCUGCAUGGUGGGGGUUGGAAAGUUUCGGCGGUUGGGGAUGUACUCGCGGCUUAUCAGCUUGUUGGUGGGGUAGUGGCUUACCAAGGCUUUGACGGGUAGCCGGCCUGAGAGGGUGACCGGCGACAUUGGGACUGAGAUAAGGCCCAGAAUCCUACGGGAGGCAGCAGUGGGGAAUAUUGCACAAUGGGCGGAAGCCUGAUGCAGCAACGCCGCGUGCGGGAUGACGGCCUUCGGGUUGUAAACCGCUUUCGCCUGUGACGAAGCGUGAGUGACGGUAAUGGGUAAAGAAGCACCGGCUAACUACGUG